GGGGACUCGGUCGCCAUGUUAGGAGUACUGGGACGAUUCCACGGAGCCGGGCAGAGGUUUUAGGGGUGCAUGGGAGUCAAGUGGUGGUUCAGUGGGGACGGAAUGAUUAACAAAGGCGUCCGAAGAAAUCGUUGUUGGAAGGUGGCCAAGGUGGAAAGAGACGUUGCUUUGGCCCUGCAAGUAAGAAGAGAGAAGGAACAGCCUGAAGGAGUAACACUAAAUUUAAAAUGACACUUUUUUACCAACCAGCGAAAGCAGAUGUUCAAAGGGGAUAUUGGCCAGAGUUUUGUCAACACUAAGAUGAGAAACGUCCUUUCUUCCUGAAGGUGUCUGAUGUGUAAAAAUACUGAUAUACUUUGUGCUGUUUCCUCCCUUCCCUUUUGCACAUUGUUCUGAAACAAAAUUAACUAGUUACUUUGCGUCAUUGAAGGUUUGGAUAAAUAAGGGAGCACUAGAAAACUUUGUUGUUUUUUUUUUUGAUAUGGAGUCUGUUGCCCAGGCUGGAGUAGAGUGGUACGAUCUCAACUCACUGCAAUCUCCGCCUCCUGGGUUCAAGUGAUUCUCUUGCCUCA
rnacentral:lncRNA from 1 species